CCGUCGCCGCGCGAUGCAUUGUGGUACGUGCAGUCCGGUGCCCCUGCCCGCCCCCGCCUGAGGCGCUCUGGCCCGGAGGGCAUUAGCUGUUCUUGGGUGUUAAUAAAACUAGAAAGUGUAUUCUCUCAGGCUGACAGUGUUGCUCUCAAGCUACUCUGGGUGGUUUCUUUUUGUCCGAAACCUGUGGUAAGCUCCUGGCUCAGAAAAGCAGGAAUCCGUCGAAGUACAAAACUGCAACCCAUCCUUCUGCCAGUGUUGAUCCGCCUGCCCUCAGGAGUAAGUGUCCUGCAGUGUUUGCAAAAAGAGUCACGGAGUGCAAGUGAGUCAUCCUGUUAACUGCGUGGGUUUGCAGCUGCUCAAAGGGAAAACAGGACCAGGAGACUUCAGCCUUGAUGUUACAGUGCAACCUACCGACUGACGGAUGGAAUUUGGAGUGCAGCUCUGGAAGAGAAAAUACAAGCAGCAGCCCAAGGGACCCUUCCCAGACAUGGAGGAGUGCGGGGGGAUCCGCUAAGGACACGGAGCCUCCCUGCUGAGAGCGCCUCGGCUGCGCACGCAGCUGGGGCCGCUCGGAGCUGGAGCCUCACGGAGCUGGGGCCGCACGGAGCUGGGGCCGCGGCCGGGCCAGCCGGGAGAUGGCUCUGUCCCACCUGUCUGCAGAAGCGGCGCUACACGCUCCCAUUCCCUACAGGUGUCCGCCAGAGGGGGCCCGGCCCCCGCCGUUCUCCAGCUCCUGAACCGAAGGCCAUUUGACAGCCGAGCAGCCCCAGCUUUCCUUUAUUUCUCUUUUUUGCCCGCGGCUGUUUCCCAUGGUAAAGCGAACUCGAUUAUAAAAUCCUGUGUGACGAUUUAGCCUAUAAGGUUUUCAAUUUCUAUUUGAAGUGCAGGAGAGAUUAAAGGGAGGGCUUUGGUUUGUGUAUCUUCUUGCCAAACUCAGUUGUUGAGCAGUAGGUUGUACAUUCUCUGUCCUACAAAGUUAUAGCCACUCUGCUCUGGGCAGCUCCCACCUGGAGUGCUGCAUCCUGGUCUGGAGUCCUCAGCACAGAAAAGACAAGGACCUGUUGGAGCACAUCCAGAAGAGGGCCACUAAGAUGAUUAGGGAGCUGGAGCACCUUUCCUAUGAGGACAUGCUGAGAGAGUCAGGUCGAGUUAAGUAAAGAGAUGAGAAGGCUCUGGGAAGGCCUUAUUGCAGCCUUUCAUACUUAUAGGGGGUUUAUAUGAGAUGGGAGCAAGAAUUUUAGCAGGGCUUGUGAUAGGACAAGGGACAAUGGUUUUGCACUAAUAUAAGGGAAAAAGUUUUUAUGUGGGUGGUGAGACACUGUAGCAGAGAGAUGGUGGAAACAUUCAAAGUCAGGUUGGAUGGGGCUCUGAGCAACUUGGUCUAGUUGAAGAUGGCUGCUUAUUGCAGGGUUUUGGACCAGGUGACCUUUAUGUGUCCCUUUCAACCCAAACUAUUCUAUGAUUCAGUAACCGGGGCUGUAGUCAUGCAAGCCUCAUCUCAACCACAGUUGUUUAUGUGAGGAAAAUGUAUCUUAAAAUAAACACAGAAAUAGACCUAUGAGUAGUACA